CAGUAGCCGCGGUAAUACCGAGGUUGCAAGCGUUAAUCGGAAUUACUGGGCGUAAAGCGCGCGUAGGUGGUUUGUUAAGUUGGAUGUGAAAUCCCCGGGCUCAACCUGGGAACUGCAUCCAAAACUGGCAAGCUAGAGUAUGGUAGAGGGUGGUGGAAUUUCCUGUGUAGCGGUGAAAUGCGUAGAUAUAGGAAGGAACACCAGUGGCGAAGGCGACCACCUGGACUGAUACUGACACUGAGGUGCGAAAGCGUGGGGAGCAAACAGGAUUAGAUACCCCUGUAGUCCCUGUCUCUUAUAC
rnacentral:rRNA from 1 species